rnacentral:RNase_P_RNA from 1 species
CCCGCUCUUUGGAUGAUCGCUGCGCCUCUUGAAGGCGUAGAGGAACGUCCGGGCACGACUGGAACGCUUAGUGGGUAACGCCCACCCAUGCGCCCCAUAUACGGCAAAUGCGCAUGCGGACCAGUGCCACAGAGACGAGCCCCCUGUUUUAUUACUUGGGGCAUGUGAAACGCCUCCGGCUUGAACGGAGGACUGACCGAAAGGUCGAUCGGUAAACUCUAGGUCGUGCAAGGAGGAUUUGGGUGAGUGGGUUAUCUGAUGGUUCCGUCAGACCACAUACCCCUCCGCUAGAGGUCGGUAGCGAUACCGAUCCCAGAUAGAUGAUCAUCUCGGCGUAGCUCGCAAGAGCGAAGCCGGACAAAACCCGGCGUAUAGAAGGGCGGGAACA